GUUAAUAGCGUAUGGAUUUGACGUUAGCUGCAGAAGAAGCACCGGCUAACUCCGUGCCAGCAGCCGCGGUAAUACGGAGGGUGCGAGCGUUAAUCGGAAUUACUGGGCGUAAAGCGCAUGCAGGUGGUUUGUUAAGUCAGAUGUGAAAGCCCGGGGCUCAACCUCGGAAUUGCAUUUGAAACUGGCAGACUAGAGUACUGUAGAGGGGGGUAGAAUUUCAGGUGUAGCGGUGAAAUGCGUAGAGAUCUGAAGGAAUACCGGUGGCGAAGGCGGCCCCCUGGACAGAUACUGACACUCAGAUGCGAAAGCGUGGGGAGCAAACAGGAUUAGAUACCCUGGUAGUCCACGCCGUAAACGAUGUCUACUUGGAGGUUGUGGCCUUGAGCCGUGGCUUUCGGAGCUAACGCGUUAAGUAGACCGCCUGGGGAGUACGGUCGCAAGAUUAAAACUCAAAUGAAUUGACGGGGGCCCGCACAAGCGGUGGAGCAUGUGGUUUAAUUCGAUGCAACGCGAAGAACCUUACCUACUCUUGACAUCCAGAGAACUUUCCAGAGAUGGAUUGGUGCCUUCGGGAACUCUGAGACAGGUGCUGCAUGGCUGUCGUCAGCUCGUGUUGUGAAAUGUUGGGUUAAGUCCCGCAACGAGCGCAACCCUUAUCCUUGUUUGCCAGC
rnacentral:rRNA from 1 species